rnacentral:rRNA from 1 species
UACGUAGGUGGCAAGCGUUGUCCGGAUUUAUUGGGUUUAAAGGGUGCGUAGGCGGUCUUAUAAGUCAGUGGUGAAAUACGGCAGCUCAACUGUCGAGGUGCCAUUGAUACUGUAGGACUUGAGUACAGACGAGGUAGGCGGAAUUGACGGUGUAGCGGUGAAAAUGCUUUAGAUAUCGUCAAGAAACACCGAUAGCGAAAGGCAGCUUACUAGGCUGUAACUGACGCUGAGGCACGAAAAGUGUGGGGGAUCAAAACAG